GACGAACGCUGGCGGCGGGCUUAACACAUGCAAGUCGAACGGAAAGGCCCUGCUUUUGUGGGGUGCUCGAGUGGCGAACGGGUGAGGAACACGUGAGUAACCGGCCCUUGACUUUGGGAUAACUUCAGGAAACGGGGGCUAAUACCGGAUAGGAGCUCCUGCUGCAGGGUGGGGGUUGGAAAGUUUGGGCGGUUGGGGAUGGACUCGCGGCUUAUCAGCUUGUUGGUGGGGUAGUGGCUUACCAAGGCUUUGACGGGUAGCCGGCCUGAGAGGGUGACCGGCCACAUUGGGCCUGAGAUACGGCCCAGACUCCUACGGGGGGCAGCAGUGGGGAAUAUUGCACAAUGGGCCGAAGCCUGAUGCAGCAACGCCGCGUGCGGGAUGACGGCCUUCGGGUUGUAAACCGCUUUCGCCUGUGACGAAGCGUGAGUGACGGUAAUGGGUAAAGAAGCACCGGCUAACUACGUG
rnacentral:rRNA from 1 species